rnacentral:rRNA from 1 species
UACGUAGGGGGCAAGCGUUGUCCGGAUUUAUUGGGCGUAAAGAGCGUGUAGGCGGCCAGACAGGUCAGCUGUGAAAACUCGAGGCUCAACCUCGAGACGUCGGUUGAAACCGUCUGGCUAGAGUCCGGAAGAGGAGAGUGGAAUUCCAUGUGUAGCGGUGAAAUGCGUAGAGAUAUGGAGGAACACCAGUGGCGAAGGCGACUUUGUGGUCUGUAACUGACACUGAGGCGCGAAAGCGUGGGGAGCAAACAGG